UAAUGGCAGGUCAGCAUACUGCCGUGAAUACGUUCCCGGGCCUUGUACACACCGCCCGUCACACCAUGAGAGUUGGGGAUACCCGAAGCCCGUGAGCCAACUGUAAAGAGGCAGCGGUCGAAGGUAGAAUCAAUGAUUGGGGUGAAGUCGUAACAAGGUACC
rnacentral:rRNA from 1 species